ACUCAAAUGAAUAGACGGGGACCCGCACAAGCAGUGGAGCAUGUGGUUUAAUUCGAUGCAACGCGAAGAACCUUACCCAGGCUUGACAUGCAGAAGAUAACACCAGAGAUGGUGCGUUCCUUCGGGACUUCUGCACAGGUGCUGCAUGGCUGUCGUCAGCUCGUGCCGUGAGGUGUUGGGUUAAGUCCCGCAACGAGCGCAACCCUUAUCGUUAGUUGCCAACAUUUCGGAUGGGAACUCUAACGAGACUGCCUGGGUUAACCAGGAGGAAGGUGAGGAUGACGUCAAGUCCGCAUGGCCCUUAUGUCUGGGGCUACACACGUGCUACAAUGGCCGGUACAGAAGGCAGCGAAUCCGCAAGGUAGAGCAAAUCCAGAAAGCCGGUCCCAGUUCGGAUUGUAGUCUGCAACUCGACUACAUGAAGUUGGAAUUGCUAGUAAUGGCGUAUCAGCAACAACGCCGUGAAUACGUUCCCGGGUCUUGCACACACCGCCCGU
rnacentral:rRNA from 1 species